AGUGAACGCUGGCGGUAGGCCUAACACAUGCAAGUCGAACGGCAGCACAGUAAGAGCUUGCUCUUACGGGUGGCGAGUGGCGGACGGGUGAGGAAUACAUCGGAAUCUACUUUUUCGUGGGGGAUAACGUAGGGAAACUUACGCUAAUACCGCAUACGACCUACGGGUGAAAGCAGGGGAUCUUCGGACCUUGCGCGAUUGAAUGAGCCGAUGUCGGAUUAGCUAGUUGGCGGGGUAAAGGCCAACCAAGGCGACGAUCCGUAGCUGGUCUGAGAGGAUGAUCAGCCACACUGGAACUGGGACACGGUCCAGACUCCUACGGGAGGCAGCAGUGGGGAAUAUUGGACAAUGGGCGCAAGCCUGAUCCAGCCAUACCGCGUGAGUGAAGAAGGCCUUCGGGUUGUAAAGCCCUUUUGUUGGGAAAGAAAAGCAGCAGGUUAAUACCCCGCUGUUCUGACGGUACCCAAAGAAUAAGCACCGGCUAACUUCGUG
rnacentral:rRNA from 1 species